GCUCCGUUUUCAGGACACAGUGAUUGUGUACGGCUCUGAGGCCCCCUCCAGGGCGCUCCUAUGAAUGAGAGACCCGCUUGCGAGGCCCCUUAAGCCUCGUUUGAGGCCUUUCCCGGCCGACGGUAGUCGGAAGUUGGUCGGAAAAGCGAAGGCCUUAAUGAAGACCUCGCCGUACAGGAGCCCGCAGUACGGCGGCUGUGUCCUCAACAAGCAAAAGUUGACGUACGAAAUUGUGUGGGAGAGGUUAGCAAUGCCUUAGGGGUCCAAAGAAGGGAUUGCUAAAGAAAGACGAAGGAAUUAUUGCUAAGAGCCUCUUCACAAAGGAGCUGAUUUGUGCUCAGACUUAGAAAUUUGGGGCAGAAAACUACUUCCUGAGAGGAAUCUUUUGAGGCGAAAUCAGUUAAUCACAAAAUAGGGGCGCCCGGGUGGCUCCGCGGUUGAGCGUCUGCCUGCGGCUCAGGUCAUGACCCCCGAGACCGAGGAUCGAGUCCUGCGUCGGGCUCCCAGCGCGGAGCCUGCUUCUCCCUCUGCCUGCGUCUCCGCCUCUCUCUGUGUGUCUCUCCUGAGUAAAUAAAAUCUUAAAAAAGGAAAGACUUUCCUGCAGAUUGCAAAGAACCAAUGAUCUUAAUAAGUGGAAGUGGUUAGUUACUAUACUAGUAAUGAUAGUGGCUAAUAUUUACGGAGUGCUUUAAGAUGAAAAUAUUGCAGUGGGAGCAUGGGGAUACGACCAACAAGAUUGAUGAUCCUCCCCACAAAAGAUGUGUGCCUGUCAGUCUGCCACUGUUGAAAGCUUUGCCUUGGCUGUCCCUCCAUUGAAGUUUUUGCUCACUCACAACCUUGACUAUAAUCCUUCCAGCAAAAAAAAAAAAAAAAAAAAAUCCUUCCAGCAACAGGCCAGCACUAUACUUGCCCAGAUGUUCACGCAGAGGUUGCCCUGGCAGCUGUGGCUCUCCAAUCUACGCCAAAGUCCUGCUGGAGGUCUUGAGAUGAGCAGUGUCUCUGCGUGGUGGCUGGAUAUCAAGCUCUCCAGGAGUGAACAUUUGCAGUCCUUGAACGGCAAGUCCUGGUGUCCAUGAAAUACCUAUAAGUGGAUGUGUUGAAGUCUGUGUGGUGUUUGGAUAUGAAAUCCCAGAGACAGUCUCUGCUAAACAGAUCUUUCACACUUCCAGAAUUUUCCCAGUGUGCGAGCACACUCUGGCAGUCUUCCAGAGCACUUUCUGGAUUAAUUUCUCUGAGUCUUCUCCAUAGCAGAGCUUGAACUCCUGUGCAGAUGAGGACAUGCCUGACCUUGCUUGCCUUCAGGAAGUGGAGUCAGAGUUGUCCUUACAGAGGCCAAAAGAGCUUAUCCUACCCUACAGGCAUUUUUGUAUUCUAAUAGAGCUUUUCCACCUCUAAUCACACUAACAAUUUAGUCAACCCUGCAAAAGAUAUGGGAAAAAAAUUUUAAAACAAAGCCAAAACACUUUGCCUUUGACUCAUUUCAAUGUAAGUUACUCACUAAGUCUGUUUUUAGCCAGGGUUCCCUGUGUCAUUCUGCAUUUCUUUUCCCCCUGUAAAUCACUGGAAGGGAAGAAGCCACAAGAUACAUUACAUAUGCAGACAUUUUCUUAAAAAGCCCUCAAAUGUCUCUGAAAGUUAGCUUAGUAUUUUGAUUCAAAAUGCUGUUUUUGUAGCACUUCACAGCAAGAAAACAGGAAAUUAAGACAAUCUGAACUGCUGAAAGGGCAAGAAGAAACUAACCAGUAGGUUCCAACUAAUCCAGGUGCUUCAGGAAAAGACCCCGCCCACAACCUCUACCAGUUCAGACUGCCUUGACUCAGGACAAAGAACUUUCCUCUCUACCCCCAGGCCAAUUUGCUCUGUUCUCAGACAGCUUUCAAAUUUUAUUGAUUCAGGGAGCUGUGUAGGGACAACAUACUAAACCCAUUUCAUUGCUGAGGAAGUUUUGGGGAGGAAAAUCCUCCUGAAAGUGCAGGUGAGGCUAGAUGCUGAGGACUAAGAAUGCCUCCACAGAGUGAUGUCAGGCUACCUGCUGUUAGAGCCCCAUUGCCUCAGGUAGACUGUUUUCCUUUCCCUUCCAACGUGAAUCAAAUUCCCAGUACCAAAGUAGCUUCUUUGAAUUAGAGCUGUGGUUCUCAAACUUUAGAGUGCAUCAAAAUCACUCAGAGGGUUUAUUAAAACAAAGAUUGCUGGGCCCCUGACUCAUCACUCAUUAGGUCUAUGGUGAAGCCUCACAAAUUGCGUUUCUAAGAAGUUCCCAGAUGUUGCUCAUGCUGUUGGCCCUGGGGCCACACUUUGAGAGCCAAUGAAUUAGGGUAUUAUGAAGACUGACUUCACAAUGCACAUAUCCUGGAAGUAGCAUGCUAAAAUGUUAAUAACUGACACAUGGGGGCGCCUACAUGGCUCAGCGGUUGAGCAUCUGUCUUGCGCUCAGGUUGUGAUCCCCGGGUCCUGGGAUCGAGUCCCAGAUCAGGCUCCCCGCAGGGAGCCUGCUUCUCCUUCUGCCUAUUUCUCUUCCUCUUUCUGUGUGUCUCUCAUAAAUAAAUAAAUAAAACCUUAAAAAAUAAUAACUGACACAUGAUGUAAUAAAGCAUGAUAUGAGCUUAAACGGAUCCUGAGUUAAUAAUAACUAUCAUUUAUUAAGUGCUUACUAUGGGCCUGUCAUUAUGUCCAAAGUUUAUACCUCAUAACACCGGACGAGUUGACUAUUUCAAUUUUCAGGAAACCUAGGCUGAGGGAGAAUUGAAGCAACUUGCCAGAAAGGGUAAUAGUGGUAAGAUUUGAACCCAGAUCUGUCUCUUAAACCAUUCAUGCUAUUGAAAAGCCUUAGGAUAGGGACACCUGGGUGGCUCAGCAGUUUAGCAUCUGCCCUCGGCUCAGGGCAUGACCCUAGAGUCCCAGGAUCGAGUCCCACAUCAGGCUUCUUGCAUGGAGCCUGCUUCUCCCUCUGCCUGUGUCGCUGCCUCUCUCUCUGUGUCUCUCAUGUGUUUCUCAUAAAUAAAAAUCUUAAAAAAAAAGAAAAGAAUAAUCCAAGAGCCAAGGAAGACCAAAAGUCUUAGACCAACAAGAUUCCCAAGGCUUCCCUUGGCCUAUCUGGGAGCCCCAUGUCACCCAGUGACCUAAUUUGAUAUAUGGAGGAGAAAUGCUGAAGCUAGAGACAGCAGUUUAGAAUUCCUCCCUAGAUAUAAUGAUUACAUGUGAUGUAGAAACUCUCAAAUGAUCUGGCUUACUCUUAUUUUUGAGAGUCUUGAGGAUCAACUUAAAGAGAAGUUAAGAUUUCAAGCUUAAGCCUGAAUCUUGCUGAGGCAUGGAUAAGUGAUGACCAGGGGCCGCGCAGAGGGACCAAGGAAGGGGAGAGUGGUGACCUAGGGAGCUACUGCCCAAACUCCAGAGUAUCAGAAUCACUUGGAACCUGAUAGAAAUACAGAGACCCAGACCCUAUCCCACCUCAACAACAGCCUGGGCAUCUACAUUUUCUUUUUAAGUAAUCUCUACACCAACCUGGGGUUCAAACUCACAACCCCUAGGGUCUAGAGUCACAUGCUCUACUGACUAAGCCAGCCUGGUGCCCCCUGAGGCUACACAUUUUGAACAAGCUUUCUGGUAAUGCUGAUGAAUAGCAGUGUUUGAGUGAUGGUUUUCAAGUAUUUUUUUUUAAAGCAGUGCAACUCUAUCUUUAACAAAAUCUUAGGAAAGGCCUGGAUAACAUAUCACUCGUCUCCUGCCAGUGGCCCCCGAGUCACUUCCAUUACUCUUCUGGGGCUCAGGGGAACACUGGCUUAAUACGUUCAAAAUACUGGAUAUAGUUUCCAAAAAUGUAGACCCAGGCCUGUGUACAUUUCACUAAAGACCAGGGUUUGUGGUCAUGAAUACUGUGAGAAUGUUUUCAAGAAUUUUUUUUUUUUUAUUUAGACGUUUCCUCAGUUUGUUUUUAAUAAGUCAAGCUGGUUUCCUUAUAGUCCCUGGAAACAAAAACCUUUUUAAAAAUAAUAGGGCUUAUGCUUAUUUCAGACCUGCAGGUGGGCAAGAAUUGAAAAGCAUGUGUCUGCUGUCCUCAGAGAAGCAAUGGGCCAGGAGAGGAAACAGAAUAGGCAGUGGAGAGAGACUCCAGAGCCAAUCCCUGCCAGUGGAAGGAAGUGUUGGAUUAGGAGCUGGCCCAAACUGGGAGGCUCUCCUGUGGGGUUUACUGAUAGGAAGACUUCAUUUCUACCCCUACCCUCUGAAGUCAGCCAUGUCUGACUGGACAAAUGGCUGUGUGUGUGUGUGUGUGUGUGUGUGUGUGUGUGUGUGUAUCCAUCCUGUUUGUAGUUUGGGGUUGAAAAUAUUCCCGGGGGUUUUCCCAAAGCCUCAAACCAAGCAGGCCCCUCCCUACAAGACAGGGCAAGAUUCCUCAUGAAGCAGCACAUGCUGCUCACUGGGUUAGCACUCAGGUCUGUGGUCAUCCCUGCAGCCCUUCCCAAGAGAAGCUUCCAUGUGUGGCUACUAGCCUCCUAGCUGAAUCAGUCCUGGGGGUAACCAAGGAGGCAGCAAGGGUUAUCCAUACUCCAACUCCCCUUUUAGCACCCUCUUUUCCUCCACUGGGCAUAUUCACCCUUGCAAACUGGAACCAGACAUGUUGGCUCUUUGCAGGCUAUUAACAGAUUCCCUCUAACACCUGGCUACUAAAAGUGUGGUCAGACACGCAGCAUCAAUGUCACCAGCAUGACCAGGACCUUGUUAAAAAGUGCAGUCUCAGAUCCUCCCACACCUACCGAAUCAGGAUCUAGUUUUAACAAGGCCCAGGUGAUUUGUAUGCACAAUAAAGUUUGAGAAGGUCUGCUCUAAGCUGCAGUUCUCAGGGUUGGCUAUGCUUUAGAAUCACCUAAGGAGCUUUGAAAAAUCCUGAUCUUACCCCAGACCAAUUAAAUCAGACUUUCUGGGGAUAAAGCCCAGGCAUCAAUUGUUUUUAAGCUCUAGAAGGUGACUCAAUGUCCAGCAGGGCUGGGAACCAGUCUCUGAAGUGAAGGAUGAAGCGGCUGCCUCUACUGAACCAUAUUUACAUUUUCCUGUGGGCCCCUGGAAACUGAAGAGACUUCCGAAUGCAAAGGAAUUCAUCCUAACUGGUGAAAUCUGAGGGGAGACAUUGCAAUAGGGGAGAAAAGGUUGUGGGAGGGGAGAGCAAGAAAGAAAGAGUCAGCUUUAAUCCCUACUAUAUUACAUCACCCGAAAGAGCAACAACAAAAAUUCUAUUUUAUCCAUGAGAAAAUGACUUACCCAUUCCAAGUGUACUUCCAGAGCAGGUUACUGUAAUGAAUAAAAACAAAAGCAUUUAAAAUAUAUUAAUGAACAUAUUUAAGAUGGUGAAGAUAUUAAAAAAAAAGAUAGUGAAGAUAUAACUUAAAGAAUAAUGGGAUAGUGAACCAAAGAGUGAUUAAGACCCAGCUUGAGUGAUAAAAGGAUAUAACUACUAGCAGUAUGACCUUGGACAAGUCACUUCACUUUUCUGUGCUUUAGUUUAUCUGUAAAGUGGUAAGAAUCAGAAUGUCAACCUCAUAAGGUUGUUACAGGGAUCAACUAAGUUAGCAUAUGUAAAGCCCUCAAAAUAGUGCUGGACACAUACACUCAAUAAACAUUAGUCAUUAUUAUCAUUUAUAAUAUUGUCUUAAUUAUCAAAGGAAGGCACCACUGAUAUCGAAAAAAAAGAAACUCAAGAAACAAAACCAAAACUCUUUCCCUAAACACCUGUUUCUUUAGCAGAGAGAUGGAGCAAAAGUGGAUUCCCUAACUGGAGUCUAGACACCUAAUCCUUGCUAAUGUGGAAUGACUGCAGGCUUGAGAUGGCAUCCCAGCAGGUUAUCCUCUUGAAAAAGCUUGAGGAGUAUCCUCUUGUGCCGAGAGAGGAGAAAUUGGCCUCAUACUCCAGAAUCUGUGCUGUGAUGAAGCCCAUCUGCCUAGAGACUUGGCUCUGGCGCUAGCUCCGAAACGACCAUGCGGCAAGACGGAACAAAGUCGCCACUGUGCUCUGGCCAGACAUUCCUUGAACAUCACUCAGGACUGUCUCCUUUGCCAUCAAAAGAAAACUGAGACUUAUAUCUGCUGGGGAGACGUUACAGACCUGCUCAUCGUAGCCGUCGACCCGCAGAAGUGUAUCUUGUCUCCUGGGUUAGCUACUCAUUCUCGUUGGAGUGGACCAGCUUCCUGGAAAAAUGACACCCAAACUAGCCAUCGGCAGACAAGGCCUGGCAGUGCGUUCAUGGAGUGGUUGGAGAGGCACCGGAAAGGCUAGACUGUCUCCUCCCAGGCCUGCCAAGGGCUGACAGCGCCACCACAUCGACCACCGUGAAGUGAGCAAGUUGCAGGUCGGUUGGAAUGAUGAACUCACCAAUUUAAGACAGAUAAGAGUGAAUCCAAUCAAAGGCAAACAUUUCUUGUGUCCACCAGCCAUCCUGUUGAACAUAGCACUCACAUGGCACACGCAACAGAGUGAUCCGGGUCCUCUUCGGUCCCCAGGAGGGCAGCACUGUGGAUUGCUGGGGCUGUAGGGCUGCGAUCCUGGGAAGUAGCUCCUCCUCUUCAGUGUGGAACUGACCCGUUCCUGGGGGCACUUGGAGAUUGGCAGGGACAGAUAUUGCCAAGGCUGAAAAAAAGAAGAGUUGAUGAAAACCACCCCAAACUGGCCAUAAAGGUACUGUAACCUGGGUUUCAAGGUAAUAUGUAGAAUGCUCUCUUCUUUAAAAAAAUUUUUUUUCAAAGAUUUUAUUUAUUCAUGAGAGACACACAGAGAGAGGCAGAGACACAAGCAGAGGGAGAAGCAGGCUCCCUGCGGGGGCCCAACAUGGAACUCCAUCCUGGGUCUCCAGGAUCACACCCUGAGCUGAAGGUAGACGCCCAACCACUGAGCCACCCAGGUGCCCGUUUGAGCUCUUUAUAAGCAUUUAAUCUAAACACUAUAAACAAUUCUAGUAAUAAGCAAGUAUGUAAAUUAGUAAUAAACAGUAUUAACUGACUUUUAUGGAAUCACACAAGUAUUACAUGGUGGAGCUGGGAUUAAAAUUCAUCAGACCUCUGUUUCCAACUGAAAUAGGGCAAAAGGGAAUGGAUUUACCACCUAUGACUUCGACUUAUUAUAAAACUACAGUAAUUAAGACAGGAUUAAUUGGUUAUAAUGAUUGGCGUGAAGACGGAUAAAUCAAUGGAAUAAAAUAGAUCAACAGAACAGCAUAGAGAGUCCAGAAAUAGACCCAAACAUAUAUAGACAAUUGAUUUUCAACAAACGUACAAAGGCAAUCCAGUAGAAAAAGGAUAGUCUUUUCAACAAAUGGUACUGGAAUGAUUAAAUAAUCAGAUGCAAAGAACAUGAGCUUUGAUCCAUAUCUUACCCUACAUAAAAAAUUAAUUCAAAAUGGAUUAUAGACCUAAAUGUAACACCUAAAACUAUAAAACUUCCAGAAAAAACUCGCUGUGAUGUUAGAUUAGUCAAAGAUUUCUUAGAUACCACACUGAAAGCAUGAUCCAUUUAAAAAAUUGAUACUUUGAACUUCAUCAAAAUCAAAAACUUUUGCACUAUUAAGGGAAUGAAAAAACAAACCACACAUUGGGGGUAAAUAUUUGCAGAUCACAUAUUUAAUUUUUAAUUAGGAAUUUUAAAAAUAUGUAUAUACUCUCAAAACCUAAUAAGAAAACGACUUAAGGGAUGCUUGGGUGGCUCAGUGGUUGAGUGUCUGCCUUUGCCACAGGGCGUGAUCCCAGGAUCUGGGAUGGAGUCCUGCAUUGGGCUCCUUGCAUGGAGCCUGCUUCUCCCUCUGCCUAUGUCUCUGCCUCUCUUUAUGUCUCUCAUGAAUAAAUAAAUAAAAUCUUUUAAAAAAAGAAGAAAACUUAAUAAAAAAUGAGCAGAAGAUUUGAACAAACACUUCACAUAAGAUAUAUACCUGGACAUAUUUGUGUGUACAACAUACACCUAGUAUAUGGCCCAACCAUUUCACCCCUAGGUAUUUACCCGAGAGAAAUGAAAGUAUAUGUUCAUACAAAAAUUUAUAUACACAGGGAAAGGCAAUUAUCAUAUGGUCUCACUCAUAUGUGGAAUUUAAGAAACAAAACAGAGGAUGAUAGGAGAAAGGA